GAAAAGGGUCCUUUGGGGAAAAGUUUUCCCUUUGAUAAGAUGAAGCCGGGGAAGGUUUUCCGGUUUAUCCCGGAGGGCUUGUAGCUCAGUUGGUUAGAGCGCGCGCUUGAUAAGCGUGAGGUCGGAGGUUCAAGUCCUCCCAGGCCCACCAAUCAUUCUAUCAAUCUAUAAGCGCUUGUGGAAAUUGCUCAUAGAAAACUUUCUUUAUUCAUUUAUGAAAAAUCUCCUUAUAGAGAUAGAGAGAGACGCUUUUCCCUUUGGGUUUGAAAACUCAAGAUUACAGGUGUUAAAGUGGCUUUAAAGGAAAAGUGACAAAGAAUAAGGAGUAACGAUUUAAGUUAUCCCUUUUUGGUGAUCUUGAUUUGGGUGUUUUGAAUGCGUUAUGUUUUUUAGGGGGGCCGUAGCUCAGCUGGGAGAGCACCUGCUUUGCAAGCAGGGG
rnacentral:misc_RNA from 1 species